rnacentral:rRNA from 1 species
GACGAACGCUGGCGGCGUGCUUAACACAUGCAAGUCGAACGGAAAGGCCCUGCUUUUGUGGGGUGCUCGAGUGGCGAACGGGUGAGUAACACGUGAGUAACCUGCCCUUGACUUUGGGAUAACUUCAGGAAACUGGGGCUCAUACCGGAUAGGAGCUCCUGCUGCAUGGUGGGGGUUGGAAAGUUUCGGCGGUUGGGGAUGGACUCGCGGCUUAUCAGCUUGUUGGUGGGGUAGUGGCUUACCAAGGCUUUGACGGGUAGCCGGCCUGAGAGGGUGACCGGCCACAUUGGGACUGAGAUACGGCCCAGACUCCUACGGGAGGCAGCAGUGGGGAAUAUUGCACAAUGGGCGGAAGCCUGAUGCAGCAACGCCGCGUGCGGGAUGACGGCCUUCGGGUUGUAAACCGCUUUCGCCGGUGACGAAGCGUGAGUGACGGUAAUGGGUAAAGAAGCACCGGCUAACUACGUG